CAAUAGCGUAUAUUAAAGUUGUUGCGGUUAAAAAGCUCGUAGUUGGAUUUCUGCUGAGAACGACCGGUCCGCCCUCUGGGUGUGUAUCUGGCUCUUUCUUGGCAUCUUCUUGGUGAACGUUGCUGCACUUGACUGUGUGGAGCGCUACCCAGGACUUUUACUUUGAGGAAAUUAGAGUGUUUCAAGCAGGCAUACGCCUUGAAUACAUUAGCAUGGAAUAAUAAGAUAGGACCUCGGUUCUAUUUUGUUGGUUUCUAGAGCUAAGAUAAUGAUUAAUAGGGACAGUUGGGGGCAUUCGUAUUAACGCGUCAGAGGUGGAAUUCUUGGAUUGCGUUACGACGAACUACUGCGAAAGCAUUUGCCAAGGAUGUUUUCAUUGA
rnacentral:rRNA from 1 species